AAUGAACGCUGGCGGCGUGCCUAACACAUGCAAGUCGUACGAGAAAGGGGCUUCGGCCCUGAGUAGAGUGGCGCACGGGUGAGUAACGCGUGGGUAAUCUGCCCUUGGAUUUGGGAUAACUCUGCGAAAGUGGAGCUAAUACCGGAUAGUCUGGCUUUAAUUGAUAAGUCGGUAAAGGAUGCCUCUGCAUAUGCAUUCGUCCAAGGAUGAGCCCGCGUCUCAUUAGCUAGUUGGUAGGGUAAUGGCCUACCAAGGCAACGAUGAGUAGCUGGUCUGAGAGGAUGAUCAGCCACACUGGAACUGAAACACGGUCCAGACUCCUACGGGAGGCAGCAGUGGGGAAUAUUGCGCAAUGGGCGAAAGCCUGACGCAGCAACGCCGUGUGAGGGAUGAAGGCUUUCGGGUCGUAAACCUCUGUCGGAAGGGAAGAACGGGUGAGGGUCUAAUAGGCCUUCAUUUUGACGGUACCUUUAGAGGAAGCACCGGCUAACUCCGUGCCAGCCGCCGCCGUAAGAC
rnacentral:rRNA from 1 species